CUGACUGCUAUCGGAUGAUACUAAGCCAUGCGAGUCAUUGUAGCAAUACAAGGCAUACGGCUCAGUAACGCGUAGUCAACUACCCUAUGGACGGGAAUAACCUCGGGAAACUGAGUAUAAUUCCCGAUAGAACAUUAUGCCUGGAAUGGUUUAUGUUCCAAAUGAUUUAUCGCCGUAGGAUGGGACUGCGGCCUAUCAGUUUGUUGGUGAGGUAAUGGCCCACCAAGACUAUUACAGGUACGGGCUCUGAGAGGAGUAGCCCGGAGAUGGGUACUGAGACACGGACCCAGGCCCUAUGGGGCGCAGCAGGCGAGAAAACUUUGCAAUGUGCGAAAGCACGACAAGGUUAAUCCGAGUGGUUUCUGCUAAAGGAACCUUUUGUCAGUCCUAAAAACACUAACGAAUAAGGGGUGGGCAAGUUCUGGUGUCAGCCGCCGCGGUAAAACCAGCACCUCAAGUGGUCAGGAUGAUUAUUGGGCCUAAAGCAUCCGUAGCCUGCCCUGUAAGUUUUCGGUUAAAUCUGUAUGCUCAACAUACAGGCCGCCGGGAAUACUGCAGGGCUAGGGAGUGGGAGAGGUAGACGGUACUCGGGAGGAAGUGGUAAAAUGCUUUGAUCUCUCGAUGACCACCUGUGGCGAAGGCGGUCUACCAGAACACGUCCGACGGUGAGGGAUGAAAGCUGGGGGAGCAAACCGGAUUAGAUACCCGGGUAGUCCCAGCCGUAAACUAUGCAAACUCAGUGAUGCAUUGGCUUGUGGCCAAUGCAGUGUUGCAGGGAAGCCGUUAAGUUUGCCGCCUGGGAAGUACGUACGCAAGUAUGAAACUUAAAGGAAUUGGCGGGGGAGCACCACAAGGGUGAAGCCUGCGG
rnacentral:rRNA from 1 species